AACGAACGCUGGCGGCAUGCCUAACACAUGCAAGUCGAACGAGACCUUCGGGUCUAGUGGCGCACGGGUGCGUAACGCGUGGAAACCUGCCCUUAGGUUCGGAAUAACUCCCCGAAAGGGGUGCUAAUACCGGAUAAUGUCUUCGGACCAAAGAUUUAUCGCCUUUGGAUGGGCCCGCGUUGGAUUAGCUAGUUGGUAGGGUAAAAGCCUACCAAGGCGACGAUCCAUAGCUGGUCUGAGAGGAUGAUCAGCCACACUGGGACUGAGACACGGCCCAGACUCCUACGGGAGGCAGCAGUGGGGAAUAUUGGACAAUGGGCGAAAGCCUGAUCCAGCAAUGCCGCGUGAGUGAUGAAGGCCUUAGGGUUGUAAAGCUCUUUUACCCGGGAUGAUAAUGACAGUACCGGGAGGAUAAGCUCCGGCUAACUCCGUG
rnacentral:rRNA from 1 species